GCUGAUGGGUCACAGAGAGCUUCUAAAGUAGUUGCAUACUAUGGCUUGAAGGAACCACCUUAUAAAUUUGAUGAUUUGGAACCCUAUAUGAGUAAGAGGACAUUGGAGGUUCAUUGGGGAGACCAUCAUCGUAACUACUUGGAAGGUUUGAAAAAACAGCUAGAGAAGAGUGACAUACUGUAUGGCUACACUUUUGAUGAACUCGUCAAAGCAACAUAUAAUAAUGGGAAUCCCUUAACUGAAUUUAACAACGCUGCUCAGGUAUCAACUUAGAUUGUCAGCUUACUCAGCCAUAUAUUACUCGUCAAUGAUAGGAAACAUUCAGCUAUGCAGAGGAACAUUUUAGAAUAAAAUAUAAUCAUGUAGCCAGGAGACUAUCUUGGAAUGGCAGAAAUGGUAGAGGUAUAAGUAGAGCAAGAGUGGAGCUGGGUGAUAGGUUGAUGGAGAAGAAUCUACUACAAAGUAGGACUGUAAACUGAGCACGCUAGAUCCUGGCUUUAACUUAUUCAAACUUUUUAUUUCUUUGGUUGAUUAUCCUAAAGGUUUUCAUGGUGUUUCAUACUGGUUAAAUGUUGGAAAUUUCAAACUUCAAUCGCUACCAAAGAUACGUUGUGGAAAGGGAUGUGACACCUUUUGCAUUAGUUUGGAAGUUCAUAGUUGUUUCCAUCCAAGUUGGGAACUAUGGGAUCUUGCAGGCCUGGAAUCAUGACUUCUUCUAGGAAUCCAUGCAACCUGGAGGAUUGGACAUGCCCAAACUAGGUGUAAUUGAGCAGAUUGAAAAGGAUUUUGGUUCCAAUACAAGUUUCAGAGAGAAGUUUAUAGAAGCAGCACUAAAUUUGCUUGGCUGGUUUGUAAGAAGAUCGCGACCCACCAAGUGUCUGUACAAACCAGCUAAGGACAUCAUCUUGUGGCCUUGUUUUGCGAAUAAACUCCAGUCAUUACUAAUUAUUUUCCUUGGUUUCAUUUUUGCCAGUAAAGAGAGAAGAGAGACAACUCAAGAUAGUUAGAACUUCAAAUGCCAUUUCCCCACUUGUCUGGGAUGACAUACUGAUAAUCUGUUUCGAUAUGUGGGAGGCGUGUUAAUGACCUCUCUCUCUCUCUCUCUCUCUCUCUCUCUCUCUAUCUCUAUCUGCUUCUAUAUAUACUUCUCUUCUUCUCCCUUUGUGGAGAUGAAGAUGAAAUUUGUCUUCAGUAUGCUGAUAAUGUCUUUACUUGCUUUCUUGCAGUAUGCUUAUUAUCUGGAUUACAAGGUAUGUGUUUACUUGCUUUUCUUG